UAGCCGUAAACGAUACUCGCUAGGUGUCGGCCACGGUGCGACCGUUGUCGGUGCCGUAGGGAAGCCGUGAAGCGAGCCACCUGGGAAGUACGGCCGCAAGGCUGAAACUUAAAGGAAUUGGCGGGGGAGGCACAACAACGGGUGGAGCUUGCGGUUUAAUUGGAUUCAACGCCGGAAAUCUUACCGGGACCGACAGCAACAUGAAGGCCAAGCUGAAGACUUUGCCGGAUUAGCUGAGAGGUGGUGCAUGGCGUAGUCGUGU
rnacentral:rRNA from 1 species